AUGUACUCCUUACCAUCUAGUAUAGAUGCUCGAAAGAUUCUCAAAAUGGAAACACAAGAGCUGCCUUCUAUAAAAGGCACCCUACGUUUAGUUGAUGUUAAUAAUCACAAUAUUUAUAGAAAUGGAAGACUCGUUGCUCAUCUUGCCAACAAUGGAAGAGUUCUAGUAUCUUCUGUUCCUAGUCCAGGUGCCGGACACUAG